CAAGGAAUUUUCGGCAAUGGGCGCAAGCCUGACCGAGCAACGCCGCGUGGUGGAUGACGGCCUUCGGGUUGUAAACACCUUUUGAGGAGGAGGACACGGACAGUACUCCUCGAAUCAGCCCCGGCUAACUCUGUG
rnacentral:rRNA from 1 species